AAGGAAUUUUGGUUUGUCUCCUCCCCGUCCUCUUUAUUGGCGGAUAUAAAGAGGACGGGGAGGAGACAAACCAAAAUUCCUUU